rnacentral:rRNA from 1 species
GACGAACGCUGGCGGCGUGCUUAACACAUGCAAGUCGAACGGGUCUGCCCUGUUUUUUGCGGGGUGGGUCAGUGGCGAACGGGUGAGUAACACGUGAGUAACCUGCCCCUCACUUCUGGAUAACCGCUUGAAAGGGUGGCUAAUACGGGGUGUUCUGGCUGUGCCGCAUGGUGUGGCUGGGAAAGAUUCACUUUUGUGGUGUUUUGGUGGGGGAUGGGCUCGCGGCCUAUCAGCUUGUUGGUGGGGUGAUGGCCUGCCAAGGCCUUGACGGGUAGCCGGCCUGAGAGGGUGGGCGGUCACACUGGGACUGAGAUACGGCCCAGACUCCUGCGGGAGGCAGCAGUGGGGGGUAUUGCACAAUGGGCGGAAGCCUGAUGCAGCGACGUCGCGUGAGGGAUGGAGGCCUUCGGGUUGUGAACCUCUUUCGCCGGUGAAGAAGGUCCUGCUCUUUGUGGUGGGGUUGACGGUAGCCGGGUUAUGAAGCGCCGGCUAACUACGUG